UUAAUAUAAAUAACGAAACUAUAAAUACUGCACGUGAACGAGUUGGUUAUCAUAUUUUAGAGUAAGAAAAUGGAUUGUGAAAUGUGUUCCAGCACGUUUUUCGCGCCAAAUUCGCAUUUCAUAUGAAUGAUUGGCGGCGAAAAGCCUUACCACAAGGAGACCUAGGAUGUGUCGGGCGAGAGCAGGAUGUGGCAGGAAGUCAUCAUUUUUGUUGCAAAUUAAUUACAUUGCCCUGCCGCCGUUUAAUAAAAUAAAUCAUAUGUAUUCCGAUGAUCCGGGACAUACAACACAAGCAAAAGGACAUCGUUUGGAAAAUGUAGAAUAUUUUAGAAAAUAUCCUCAAAGUCAUCAGAACGAUAAUAAAUAUGCUAGUUAUUGUAAACACGACGGCAGCGACCCGUUUUCGUAUUUACAUACAUAUGUAUGGCUCACAUUUCGCA
rnacentral:sRNA from 1 species